AUUGAACGCUGGCGGCAGGCCUAACACAUGCAAGUCGAACGAGUGGCGGACGGGUGAGUAAUGUCUGGGAAACUGCCUGAUGGAGGGGGAUAACUACUGGAAACGGUAGCUAAUACCGCAUACCAUCGGAUGUGCCCAGAUGGGAUUAGCGAGUAGGUGGGGUAAAGGCUCACCUAGGCGACGAUCCCUAGCUGGUCUGAGAGGAUGACCAGCAACACUGGAGCAGGGACACGGUCCAUACUCCUACGGGAGGCAGCAGUGGGGAAUCUUGCACAAUGGGCGCAAGCCUGAUGCAGCCGUGGCGCGUGUUUGAAGAAGGCAUUCGGGUUGUAAAGUACUUUCAGCGGGGAGGCGUUACCCGCAGAAGAAGCACCGGCUAACUCCGUGCCAACAGCCGCGGUAAUUC
rnacentral:rRNA from 1 species